rnacentral:rRNA from 1 species
GGGGAAUCUUGCGCAAUGGACGAAAGUCUGACGCAGCGACGCCGCGUGGGUGAUGAAGGCCAUCGGGUUGUAAAGCCCUGUGGGGAGAGAAGAAUAAGUGCGGGCUAAUACCCCGCAUGAUGACGGUAUCUCCUUAGCAAGCACCGGCUAACUCUGUGCCAGCAGCCGCGGUAAGACAGAGGGUGCAAACGUUGUUCGGAAUUACUGGGCGUAAAGCGUGUGUAGGCGGUCUGAUAAGUCGGAUGUGAAAGCCCCGGGCUCAACCCGGGAAGUGCACUCGAUACUGUUAGGCUAGAGUACUGGAGAGGUUGGUGGAAUUCUCGGUGUAGAGGUGAAAUUCGUAGAUAUCGAGAGGAACACCGGUGGCGAAGGCGGCCAACUGGACAGAUACUGACGCUGAGACACGAAAGCGUGGGGAGCAAAC